rnacentral:rRNA from 1 species
GACGAACGCUGGCGGCGUGCCUAAUACAUGCAAGUUGAGCGAUGAAGCUUGGUGCUUGCACCAAUUUGAAGAGCAGCGAACGGGUGAGUAACGCGUGGGGAAUCUGCCUUUGAGCGGGGGACAACAUUUGGAAACGAAUGCUAAUACCGCAUAACAACUUUAAACAUAAGUUUUAAGUUUGAAAGAUGCAAUUGCAUCACUCAAAGAUGAUCCCGCGUUGUAUUAGCUAGUUGGUGAGGUAAAGGCUCACCAAGGCGAUGAUACAUAGCCGACCUGAGAGGGUGAUCGGCCACAUUGGGACUGAGACACGGCCCAAACGCCUGCGGGAGGGAGCAGUAGGGAAUCUUCGGCAAUGGACGAAAGUCUGACCGAGCAACGCCGCGUGAGUGAAGGAGGGUUUCGGAUCGUAAAACUCGGUUGGUAGAGAAGAACGUUGGUGAGAGUGGAAAGCUCAUCAAGUGACGGUAACUACACAGAAAGGGACGGCUAACUACGUG